UCUUCUUGAAGGAGGCUUUGGAGACACGGGUCCUGGCCCCGCCCCUUCCUCCCAAAGUGUGAAAGUCCUGGGGGGGGGGUUGAUUCCCUUCUUCCUUCGCCCCCACCCCCAAGAUCUUGGAUCCGCAGUUUCAAGCCAGUUGAGGAAUCCGAGGCUCGCUCUGGGUGGACUGUGCAAUCCAGUGCCUGGAUCCGGCUUUACUUCGCCCCUUCGACUAGCAUUCGCCCGGGCAGAGACCCCUGCGAGCUCGGCGCCUCUGGCCGACACCUUCUCUGGCCUCUUCGCUCCUGCCUCGGGCUGACCCGAGGAGUGAGAUGUCCCGAGCCCCUGUGCAGAUCGGGAGUGACGGUGCCUCUCCUGUUAGCUGCGCCUCUGCCCCGAAUUGAAUCUAUAAUCCUCCAAGACCCGGCUGCAAGUUCUGCCUCUUUUCCCCCCUUGGGCUUUUCAUUUUUUUUCACUCCUCUCCACUAUUUGGUGUGUCACCCCCCACCCCUCCGGUUAAAGGUGGGGGUGGGGAAGAGCCAAUUAAAUCAGCUGUGCUUGAAGACAGCCCUGCCUCCUGCCCAAUUCCCCGGCCUCCCUCAGGACAAAUUAGAGAAAAGAAAACAGGGCUGGGCAAAAAACCGAAUCUGCGCGGCUUUUCUUUCGCCUCCUUUCUCCCUCCCCUGCAGAGAAAUGCCAGAAACCAGGCAAGGAUCCAUUCAGCCUGAAGGGGAACACGCGGAUUCGGCGCCCCAUUCCUAAGAGGCCAGAGGAGACUGGAGGAGUUGGUGGUGCACACGCUUGGCGCAAUGAGCGUGGGGAUGGGUGCGACACAGACAAGUUGGACCGUGUUCGUAGUGUAGCAUUGUGGGCAAUGGGAAAGACAACCUCCCGCGGCAGAGUUUGGAGCACGGCUGAGAGCAAUCCGGAGACUAAAAAAAAAAACCACACCAUCCCCCUAGAAUAAUAAUAAUCCAAUUGCUGCAGGUCCUUGUAGAGCCCCGGUGGCAGAACUCCGCUUUUCUUGUAAAGUCUCUGCCUGGUUACGCGGAAAGAAGGCGCUUCUCCUCUGACCCAGUGAAUGAGAUGCUCCAGCUGUCCCCUCUGCUCCUAGGUGGUGGAGCAAACGUCUUACUUCUGUUCACCUGCCUAGCUAUUCACUGCUUCAUGGACUCCCUCCAACGCAUCAGAACGCUAAUACCACAGUGCCCCCCCGCGCCCCCGACAGAGCCGGGGGCGCAGGGAAUCAGCAAACGCAGAACUUAGGAGCCGCCAGCGAAGUUGUCCCUGGCACGUCUAAAUAGGGGAGUUUCCAUUUCCCGAGGUCUCUGGCAUAGCCGGCUGUUUCCUUCAGGCUCAGGCGCCGAGGGCUGUUCUAGAGCUAUAAAGCCAGAUCUCUAGAAACCUCUAUUCGUGGGUAUGAUUGUUCCGCUAGGAAUAUUCUCUCGGGGGAUCAUUCAGCUCUCGAGCCCUAUUUUUUUUAAGUGACCCAAUCAAGAGUCCGCCUGAAGGUAAGGUAUUGAGACAUAUCCAGUCUUCUCCAGGGCAGGAACCAGCUGGAGAUUUCCUCGUAUCUUGGCCCCAAAUAUGCUUCUAGACCAUCGGUGCUGUAGUUAUCCGCGAUUUUAGAAGACACUUUGUGAUAGACCAUUAAGGAAAGUAGCUGCCUUUGCUAAUGACACUCCUUGGUACAGUGAACCCCCGGCGGAGGUGAUACUCAUCCCUCUGUCCCUGGGGUCGCUGAAUCGGAACCUGUGCCGCCACGGAGAUAGAGAGAGAGGUGUUACACCGAAAGGAAAAACCACUUGUAAAAGGCGCCCUGGCAGGGAUUGAUUAAUCGUGUGAACAAGAAUCAUACCCAGGGUUAAACACACACGAAAGAAAGAGUGAUCGCCCAGAGAACGGCUGCUUACUAAUUCAUGCUCUAACAAAUAAGCAAUUAACAGCUAGAACAGCUAAUUAGUGAGCAGGUAUUUCUAUUGUAAACUGUGUUCAACCACGGAGAGGAGCAAUAAUGUACAGCAGUCACGGAGGCAGCAGGAGCAGCCAGACUAGCUGGACUAUAAGUACCAGUUUCCUAUUAAUGGAGCAGAGAAGGCUGAUAGGGUUUAUAAUAGGCCCAUAUUCUUCCCCAAAUCAGGAUCAGGAGUUUUGCAAAGAUGGGUUAAAGGAGCACUCGUCAGUAGUUGUAGGUUUCAACCCUAUUGGUUUUCGACAGCUGGGGGGAAGGGGGAGAUUCCAAACUUCCAUACGAGUAGAAAUGUCUUCUUGACUUCUAAGAAGUUUCAAUACACCCUGUUUUGGGAGGGAUUUAAAUCCAGCUCCUUGCAGCCGGCUGCUACCCUAAAGAGGGCCACAGGAGACAGCUCCAGAGAGACACAGAAAGUCAAAGUGAGCAACUUUAUGCUAGUGCAGGUGGAGAGCAGGGAAGUGAAACCGCCUAGAGACAGAACGUGGAAUUGAUCAAAACUGAGUGAAGCACAAAAAGGAAACAAAUAGUGAGAAGUGUCAGAUGUUUACAGGUUUUCAGAUUUAAUGCACUUCGUUGUUAUCAGUAACAUGGGGAAAUACAUUUUAAAAUGAUUACUGGGAUAAGCAUAAGUAUGGUAUAGUUUGUAACCUGUGAACCCCUUUGCAGGGUUUUUAAUUUAGUUAUUAACCCCUGUUAAGGAUUUGUACAGAGCUAUCUGAAUGGUGCACAGAUCCAGCAAUAUUCACUCAGAGUUUUACAUUAAUUUGCUUCCGGCAUAUUCAUACCCCUUUAUGUUAACUUUCUGCGAACAUUCGCAUGCUCCUAUCUCACUGAGCAAGUGAUCAUGGAAAAUGCGUGCCAAAGUAUUUACAGCCACCAAAUUUUAAAUGAGCACACCCAAGCAUUUGUGCCAGAAGUACCUGUGAAGUCAUCCAAUUAGGGAACAGAAAGAAAUAUCGCAAUUAACUGACUAAUCAGAGCUCGAACAAUGCAGCUUGAAUAGCAAAUGUGGUAUUCUUGCAGCGAACAGGCUGAGAUCAGUCUACGGAGUUAAGAAAAGUAAUUGACUAAUGAGUAAUUGGAAGAAACGGAUCUGUUCGUGGGUAUUCUGGGAGCAAUAAGAGACGACGGUUGUUUAAUUUUUUAUGAAUGAUUUGCUCAGGUCUAACCAGGUAACAUUUUAAAAAUAUUAAUUUUCAGUGUUUCCAAUGGGAAACACAAGACAAAAACCAUCUACACUUCCCAGCACUGUAUAUCUGCCAUCGAACUACAAGGGAACCAGAACCUCCAGGGUUUCCAUUUGUCAAAAAGAUGGAUAAGGGUUGGUGCCCCCUCCCCAAAUAGUUUAUAGAGAACACAUUAGUCCCAUCCUCACAACUAAGUGCCUUUGGUCUCUUUGUCAGUCCCCGCUUGUCAAAUAAGCCC